rnacentral:rRNA from 1 species
UACAGAGGGUGCGAGCGUUGUCCGGAAUUAUGGGGCGUAAAGCGUCCGCAGGUGGCACCUCAAGUCUGCUGUCAAAGACCGGGGCUUAACCCCAGAAAGGCAGUGGAAACUGAAGUGCUAGAGUGCAGUAGGGGUAGAGGGAAUUCCCGGUGUAGCGGUGAAAUGCGUAGAGAUCGGGAAGAACAUCGGUGGCGAAAGCGCUCUGCUGGACUGCAACUGACACUCAGGGACGAAAGCUAGGGGAGCGAAUGGG